GGAGAGGUGUCCGAGCGGCUUAAGGUGCACGCCUGGAACGCGUGUUUGGAGGAAACUCUAACGGGAGUUCGAAUCUCCCUCUCUCCG
rnacentral:tRNA from 1 species